GACGAACGCUGGCGGCGUGCUUAACACAUGCAUGUCGAACGGUGAAGGAGAGCUUGCUCUCCGGAUCAGUGGCGAACGGGUGAGUAACACGUGGGCAACCUGCCCCAGACUUCGGGAUAACGCUUCGAAAGAGGUGCUAAUACCGGAUACGAACUCCUUGGGCAUCCUUGGAGUUGGAAAGUUUUUCGGUCUGGGAUGGGCCCGCGGCCUAUCAGCUUAUUGGUGAGGUAACGGCUCACCAAGGCGACGACGGGUAGCCGGCCUGAGAGGGCGACCGGCCACACUGUGACUGAGACACGGCCCAGACUCCUACGGGAGGCAGCAGUGGGGAAUAUUGCGCAAUGGGCGAAAGCCUGACGCAGCAACGCCGCGUGAGGGAUGACGGCCUUCGGGUUGUAAACCUCUUUCAGCAGGGAAGAAGCGAAAGUGACGGUACCUGCAGAAGAAGCACCGGCUAACUACGUGCCAGCAGCCGCAGUAACAC
rnacentral:rRNA from 1 species